rnacentral:rRNA from 1 species
UACGUAGGGUGCGAGCGUUGUCCGGAAUUACUGGGCGUAAAGAGCUCGUAGGUGGUUUGUCGCGUUGUUCGUGAAAUCUCACGGCUUAACUGUGAGCGUGCGGGCGAUACGGGGCAGACUAGAGUACUGCAGGGGGAGACUGGAAUUCCUGGUGUAGCGGUGGAAUGCGCAGAUAUCAGGAGGAACACCGGUGGCGAAGGCGGGGUCUCUGGGCAGUAACUGACACUGAGGAGCGAAAGCGUGGGGAGCGAACAGG